UCUACCGGUAUAUUGCCUUUGU
rnacentral:miRNA from 1 species